rnacentral:rRNA from 1 species
GAUGAACGCUGGCGGCGUGCUUAACACAUGCAAGUCGAACGAAGCAUUUACGACAGAUUUCUUCGGAUUGAAGUUGUUUAUGACUGAGUGGCGGACGGGUGAGUAACGCGUGGGUAACCUGCCUUGUACUGGGGGAUAGCAGCUGGAAACGGCUGGUAAUACCGCAUAAGCGCACGAUGUCGCAUGACAUAGUGUGAAAAACUCCGGUGGUAUAAGAUGGACCCGCGUCUGAUUAGCUAGUUGGUGAGAUAACAGCCCACCAAGGCGACGAUCAGUAGCCGACCUGAGAGGGUGACCGGCCACAUUGGGACUGAGACACGGCCCAGACUCCUACGGGAGGCAGCAGUGGGGAAUAUUGCACAAUGGAGGAAACUCUGAUGCAGCGACGCCGCGUGAGUGAAGAAGUAAUUCGUUAUGUAAAGCUCUAUCAGCAGGAAAGAUAGUGACGGUACCUGACUAAGAAGCUCCGGCUAAAUACGUGCCAGCCGCCGCAGUAAGAC